UACAGAGGUCCCGAGCGUUGUUCGGAUUCAUUGGGCGUAAAGGGUGCGUAGGUGGCGCUGUAAGUGGGGUGUGAAAUCCCGGGGCUUAACUCCGGAACUGCAUUCCAUACUGCGGUGCUUGAGGACUGGAGAGGAGACUGGAAUUUACGGUGUAGCAGUGAAAUGCGUAGAGAUCGUAAGGAAGACCAGUGGCGAAGGCAGGUCUCUGGACAGUUCCUGACACUGAGGCACGAAGGCCAGGGGAGCAAACGGG
rnacentral:rRNA from 1 species